rnacentral:rRNA from 1 species
GCGACCGGCGCACGGGUGCGUAACGCGUAUGUAACCUACCUAUAACAGGGGCAUAACACUGAGAAAUUGGUACUAAUUCCCCAUAAUAUUCGGAGAGGCAUCUCUCCGGGUUGAAAACUCCGGUGGUUAUAGAUGGACAUGCGUUGUAUUAGCUAGUUGGUGAGGUAACGGCUCACCAAGGCAACGAUACAUAGGGGGACUGAGAGGUUAACCCCCCACACUGGUACUGAGACACGGACCAGACUCCUACGGGAGGCAGCAUG